rnacentral:lncRNA from 1 species
UCAAGACAAGGAAAAAAGAAAAGGGGAAGAAGAACUACUGUUACAGCCUGAAUAAUUUCACUAUCAUAACAUAAAACAGAGUUCGAUUAAAAAAUGUAGAAAAAUUGAAGCUUUGAGGCAACCCUCAAAAGGUAGGGCUAACAGUUAUUGAACUGGGACUAAACACGGUCAGAAGAAAAAGGGAACCCUAGAUUUGAAAUCAAAAGGGAAUGCGAGGAGGAGUUGGGAAAGAGGGAGGAGGGGGAAGUAAAGACAAAAGUAAGAUGAAAUAGAAAAACUGGGAGCUUUUGAAUAAAGUAAGUUGAGAGUGAAGAGACGACUGAAUCCUUUGAAGAAAAACGAGAAACGAGAAACUACUGAAGAGAAGUCAGAAGUUGGAUCAGUGACGAUGAUAGUGGCCGGUGGGAGAGGAUGGAUCGGAGAUGGUUGGGAUGCAGAGAAAGGUUCGAGCCUUCGAGGAUGGGUGAGAUCAAAAAUAUUAUUUAUGUAACCGAUCCAACAGGUUCGGUUGUAUAAUGAUGUAAAAUUAAUAAAUGAAAU